rnacentral:lncRNA from 1 species
UUUUUUCCACGUUACCUUUAUCCUAGAGUGAAAACAGUGAACUUGUUUUUAAUGUAUUUACUGUUUGAGUAGUUAAUUACUUUUAUUGACUGUCAAACUGCCUUUAUCCCAGACAUAUUUAAGAUUUGAUCUUAUUUUUUCUUUGACCCAUGGUAUUUGAUAUGAGAGAGGUAGUGAGGGACAACCUAUAUGGAGAUAUGUCAGCAAAUAAGUAUCACAAUGGUAGUAUACUAAUCGGAUAUAAUGGUAGUAUACUAAUCGGAUGGUCAGUUUUUCCAAAUUUUGAAGUAGGGCUUGAAAGAUCAUGUAUCACAAUGGCAUUUGGAGGCUUUCAGCUGGUAGAUGUUCUUGCUCAUGUUAGUUCCAUGAUAAAUAGAAUGCUUGCAACCCCUACUAUUUAGUCUUAGGUUAUAGAUUCUGGAUUCACAUUUUGAUCAUUGCCUGCUUAAAGUUCUACUGGAAUAGGGUUUUGUUAGCCAGUCGUACUAAUUGGAGCUUCUGAUUUGGAUGUAGCUGGUAUCUCUAAUGCCUUUUCGCAAGCAAAUUGGUGCAUAUAUGUAAAGAUUUGAGCCUGCGACCAAUGCACAAACAUCCACUGAAUAUUUUGAGCUUCCUCGCAAUAAAAUUUGUCUUACUGUUACUUUAUAUUGUACUGUACUACUAGAAAUAGCUAGGGUUAGAAAACUUGAUCUGAUUUCGGAAGUGGUGCCUUCUUAUGCGAAAAGCUAACAUAAG